rnacentral:rRNA from 1 species
GAUCAUGGCUCAGGAUGAACGCUGGCGGCGUGCUUAACACAUGCAAGUCGAACGAUUGAAGCUGGAGCUUGCUCCGGCCGAUUUAGUGGCGGACGGGUGAGUAACGCGUGGGUAACCUGCCUCAUACAGGGGGAUAGCAGUUGGAAACGACUGGUAAAACCGCAUAAGCGCACGGUGUCGCAUGACACAGUGUGAAAACACUCCGGUGGUAAUGAGAUGGACCCGCGU